rnacentral:rRNA from 2 species
GGAGGCAGCAGUAGGGAAUAUUCCACAAUGGACGAAAGUUUGAUGGAGCGACACAGCGUGCAGGAUGAAGGCNCUAUGGGUUGUAAACUGCUGUGGUAAGAGAAGAAAAAACCGAGGAGGAAAUGCCUUGGUCUUGACGGUAUCUUAUUAGAAAGCAACGGCUAACUAUGUGCCAGCAGCCGCGGUAAUACAUAGGUUGCAAGCGUUAUCCGGAAUUAUUGGGCGUAAAGCGUCUGUAGGUUGUUUGUUAAGUCUGAUGUUAAAUUUUGGGGCUCAACCCCAACACGCAUUGGAUACUGGCAUACUAGAGUUAUGUAGAGGUUAAUGGAAUUCCUUGUGAAGCGGUGGAAUGCGUAGAUAUAAGGAAGAACACCAAUAUGGCGAAGGCAGUUAACUGGGCAUACACUGACACUGAGAGACGAAAGCGUGGGGAGCAAACAGGAUUAGAUACCCUGGUAGUCCACGCCCUAAACGAUGAUCAUUAGCUGAUGGGGAACUCAUCGGCGCAGCUAACGCAUUAAAUGAUCCGCCUGAGUAGUACGUUCGCAAGAAUAAAACUUAAAGGAAUUGACGGGGAUCCGCACAAGCGGUGGAGCAUGUGGUUUAAUUUGAAGAUACGCGUAGAACCUUACCCACUCUUGACAUCUUCUGCAAAGCUAUAGAGAUAUAGUGGAGGUUAACAGAAUGACAGAUGGUGCAUGGUU